GAUGAACGCUGGCGGCGUGCCUAAUACAUGCAAGUCGAGCGAACGGACGAGAAGCUUGCUUCUCUGAUGUUAGCGGCGGACGGGUGAGUAACACGUGGAUCACCUACCUAUCAUACUGGUAUCACUUCGGGACACCGGCUCUAAUACCGUAUAAUAUUUUGAACCACAUGGUUCAAUAGUGGAAUACGGUCUUGCUGUCACUUAUAGCUGGAUCCGCGCUGCAUUAGCUAGUUGGUAAGGUAACGGCUUACCAAGGCAACGAUGCAUAGCCGACCUGAGAGGGUGAUCGGCCACACUGGAACUGAGACACGGUCCAGACUCCUACGGGAGGCAGCAGUAGGGAAUCUUCCGCAAUGGGCGAAAGCCUGACGGAGCAACGCCGCGUGAGUGAUGAAGGUCUUCGGAUCGUAAAACUCUGUUAUUAGGGAAGAACAUAUGUGUAAGUAACUGUGCACAUCUUGACGGUACCUAAUCAGAAAGCCACGGCUAACUACGUG
rnacentral:rRNA from 1 species